AGUGAACGCUGGCGGUAGGCCUAACACAUGCAAGUCGAACGGCAGCACAGUAAGAGCUUGCUCUUACGGGUGGCGAGUGGCGGACGGGUGAGGAAUACAUCGGAAUCUACUUUUUCGUGGGGGAUAACGUAGGGAAGCUUACGCUAAUACCGCAUACGACCUACGGGUGAAAGCAGGGGAUCUUCGGACCUUGCGCGAUUGAAUGAGCCGAUGUCGGAUUAGCUAGUUGGCGGGGUAAAGGCCCACCAAGGCGACGAUCCGUAGCUGGUCUGAGAGGAUGAUCAGCCACACUGGAACUGAGACACGGUCCAGACUCCUACGGAAGGCAGCAGUGGGGAAUAUUGGACAAUGGGCGCAAGCCUGAUCCAGCCAUACCGCGUGGGUGAAGAAGGCCUUCGGGUUGUAAAGCCCUUUUGUUGGGAAAGAAAAGCAGCAGGUUAAUACCCCGCUGUUCUGACGGUACCCAAAGAAUAAGCACCGGCUAACUUCGUG
rnacentral:rRNA from 1 species